UACGUAGGGGGCAAGCGUUGUCCGGAAUUAUUGGGCGUAAAGCGCGUGUAGGCGGUCUGUCGCGUCUGCCGUGAAAACCCGAGGCUUAACCUCGUGGCUUGCGGUGGAUACGGGCAGACUAGAGGUAGGUAGGGGAGAAUGGAAUUCCCGGUGUAGCGGUGAAAUGCGCAGAUAUCGGGAGGAACACCGGUGGCGAAGGCGGUUCUCUGGGCCUUACCUGACGCUGAGGAGCGAAAGCGUGGGGAGCGAACAGG
rnacentral:rRNA from 1 species